UAAGAAUAGUCUUAAGAUACAGUGGAACCCA
rnacentral:piRNA from 1 species